rnacentral:ncRNA from 1 species
GAGAGCCGGAUGCGGUGAAAGUCGCACGUCCGGUUCGGAGGGCGGGCCGGGGAAACCCACUAGCCGAG